AUGUCUGAAUUCUCCUUCUCCUCUCUUCAUCCCCCUUCUCCUUCUCCUCUCUCCAUCCCCCUGCUCCUUCUCCUCUCUUCAUCCUCCAUCCCUUCUCCUCUCUUCAUCCUCAUCCCUUCGCCUCUCUUUAUCCCUCAUCCCUUCUCCUUCUCCUCUCUUCAUCCUCCAUCCCUUCUCCUCUCUUCAUCCUCAUCCCUUCGCCUCUCUUUAUCCCUCAUCCCUUCUCCUUCUCCUCUCUUCAUCCUCCAUCCCUUCUCCUUCUCCUCUCUUCAUCCUCAUCCCUUCUCCUCUCUUCAUCCUCAUCCCUUCGCCUCUCUUUAUCCCUCAUUCCUUCCCCUUCUCCUCUCUUUAUCCCUCAUCCCUUCUCCUUCUCCUCUCUUCAUCCUCAUCCCUUCGCCUCUCUUUAUCCCUCAUCCCUUCCCCUUCUCCUCUCUUUAUCCCUCAUCCCUUCUCCUUCUCCUCUCUCCAUCCCCCUGCUCCUUCUCCUCUCUUCAUCCUCCAUCCCUUCUCCUCUCUUCAUCCUCAUCCCUUCGCCUCUCUUUAUCCCUCAUCCCUUCUCCUUCUCCUCUCUUCAUCCUCCAUCCCUUCUCCUCUCUUCAUCCUCAUCCCUUCGCCUCUCUUUAUCCCUCAUCCCUUCUCCUUCUCCUCUCUUCAUCCUCCAUCCCUUCUCCUUCUCCUCUCUUCAUCCUCAUCCCUUCUCCUCUCUUCAUCCUCAUCCCUUCGCCUCUCUUUAUCCCUCAUUCCUUCCCCUUCUCCUCUCUUUAUCCCUCAUCCCUUCUCCUUCUCCUCUCUUCAUCCUCAUCCCUUCUCCUUCUCCUCUCUUCAUCCUCCAUCCCUUCUCCUCUCUUCAUCCUCAUCCCUUCGCCUCUCUUUAUCCCUCAUCCCUUCUCCUUCUCCUCUCUUCAUCCUCCAUCCCUUCUCCUUCUCCUCUCUUCAUCCUCAUCCCUUCUCCUCUCUUCAUCCUCAUCCCUUCGCCUCUCUUUAUCCCUCAUCCCUUCUCCUUCUCCUCUCUUCAUCCUCAUCCCUUCUCCUCUCUUCAUCCUCAUCCCUUCGCCUCUCUUUAUCCCUCAUCCCUUCCCCUUCUCCUCUCUUUAUCCCUCAUCCCUUCUCCUUCUCCUCUCUUCAUCCUCAUCCCUUCUCCUUCUCCUCUCUUCAUCCUCCAUCCCUUCUCCUUCUCCUCUCUUCAUUCCCCUUCUCCUUCUCCUCUCUUCAUUCCCCUUCUCCUUCUCCUCUCUUCAUCCUCCAUCCCUUCUCCUCUCUUCAUCCUCAUCCCUUCGCCUCUCUUUAUCCCUCAUCCCUUCUCCUUCUCCUCUCUUCAUCCUCCAUCCCUUCUCCUCUCUUCAUCCUCAUCCCUUCGCCUCUCUUUAUCCCUCAUCCCUUCUCCUUCUCCUCUCUUCAUCCUCCAUCCCUUCUCCUUCUCCUCUCUUCAUCCUCAUCCCUUCUCCUCUCUUCAUCCUCAUCCCUUCGCCUCUCUUUAUCCCUCAUCCCUUCCCCUUCUCCUCUCUUUAUCCCUCAUCCCUUCUCCUUCUCCUCUCUUCAUCCUCAUCCCUUCUCCUUCUCCUCUCUUCAUCCUCCAUCCCUUCUCCUUCUCCUCUCUUCAUUCCCCUUCUCCUUCUCCUCUCUUCAUUGCCCUUCUCCUUCUCCUCUCUUCAUCCUCAUCCCUUCUCCUCUCUUCAUCCUCAUCCCUUCGCCUCUCUUUAUCCCUCAUCCCUUCCCCUUCUCCUCUCUUCAUCCUCCAUCCCUUCUCCUUCUCCUCUCUUCAUCCUCAUCCCUUCUCCUCUCUUCAUCCUCAUCCCUUCGCCUCUCUUUAUCCCUCAUCCCUUCCCCUUCUCCUCUUCAUCCUCCAUCCCUUCUCCUUCUCCUCUCCAUCCCUCAUCCCUUCUCCUUCUCCUCUCCAUCCCUCAUCCCUUCUCCUUUUCCUCUCUUCAUCCUCAUCCCUUCUCCUUCUCCUCUCUUCAUCCUCAUCCCUUCUCCUCUCUUCAUCCUCAUCCCUUCUCCUUCUCCUCUCCAUCCUCAUCCCUUCUCCUCUCCAUCCCUCAUCCCUUCUCCUUCUCCUCUCUUCAUCCUCAUGCUUUCUCCUCUCUUCAUCCUCCAUCCCUUCUCCUUCUCCUCUCUUCAUCCUCAUCCCUUCUCCUUCUCCUCUCCAUCCUCAUCCCUUCUCCUCUCCAUCCCUCAUCCCUUCUCCUUCUCCUCUCUUCAUCCUCAUGCUUUCUCCUCUCUUCAUCCUCCAUCCCUUCUCCUUCUCCUCUCUUCAUCCUCAUGCUUUCUCCUCUCUUCAUCCUUAUCCCUUCUCCUUCUCCUCUUCAUCCCCAUCCCUUCUCCUUCUCCUCUCUUCAUUCCCCUUCUCCUUCUCCUCUCUUCAUUCCCCUUCUCCUUCUCCUCUCUCCAUCCCUCUUCUCCUUCUCCUCUCUCCAUCCCUCAUCCCUUCUCCUUCUCCUCUCUUCAUCCUCAUUCCUUCUCCUUCUCCUCUCUCCAUCCCCCAUCCCUUCUCCUUCAUCACCCCCUUCCUCUGCUAACCUCUCCUUGAGACUCUGCAACCAAAAGCAUCUUUUAAUAUUUGAUCUGUAUGUAAUGCCUCUCUGCUUGUCACUCAGUAUUGAAGAAGAUGUAUUGUGUGAGUCUGGUGGGAGCGUAGCACAGCAGGAGUCCAACUGUCUGCCCUCCGUCUCACAUCCAACAAGAAGACACUCAGCCUGGAUAAAUAAAUACUUACUCAGCCUUUUUUUUUGA
rnacentral:lncRNA from 1 species